rnacentral:rRNA from 1 species
AUACGGAGGGUGCAAGCGUUACUCGGAAUCACUGGGCGUAAAGCGCGCGCAGGCGGCUAUUUAAGUUGGAUGUGAAAGCCUACGGCUCAACCGUAGAACUGCAUCCAAAACUAUUUAGCUAGAGUUUGUGAGAGGAAGAUGGAAUUAGUUGUGUAGGGGUAAAAUCCGUAGAGAUAACUAGGAAUACCAAAAGCGAAGGCAAUCUUCUGGAACACUACUGACGCUGAGGCACGAAAGCGUGGGGAGCGAACAGAAUUAGAAACCCUUGUAGUCC